UAUCGCAAUGCGCAUCGAUUUGAUUGUCAGACGAGAGGCGGUGCAAAUUAAACAAGAGAACUAAUCAAAAACAACGCUCAAAAUUUGAGCACAUACUGCCAAAUGAAUGGAGCCUGUCUAGACAUAGAGACAGCUCCUUGUAUGCCAUCCUACCCUUGAUGGUAUUGCACUCAAAUUUGCCAAUGACUUUGCUGACCCGUGUUGUCCAGAAAUAUGCCAAAAGAAGGCAUUCCUGCAAGGUGAAAAGAUGCAAAGCAACAGAAUGAAUGUUAUAUUCUGCAUAUAAGCCUAUUACCAAAAGAAGAACAUAUUCAGAUGUAACCUCUUUGUAAUCACCAACAUUUUGAUUAGUAACUGUGAUUUAAUUACAUAUUUUUCUCAGUAACUGUAAUGGUUUACAAUUACAUUUAUUUUGUAAUAUAAUUAUGCAACACUGUUAUGUGUAACUAGUUACUCCCCAACACUGAGGUUGGGCUACAAAAACCACUUGGUUAGGGUUAGGGAAAGAUCAUGGUUUGGGUUAAAAUGAUCACUUGAAACAUGGUGUGGAUUAAAGUUAACUUCUAUAAAUUUAGGCAACCUUCAUCGUCAUGGCAAGACACAACGACAAUCAUAGUUACGGUUUUAAAAAGACUGUCCCGAGUUGCGGUUGGAAACGUGACACUUGUGGUUGGAAAUGGGAAGUGAACAACAGUCUCCUGCAGCUAAGUCCACUUUUUGCCAUCUCUUCACCACCUCCUAAGAGGGAAAUUUGUCACCUUAUAUUGACGACAUCUGAACUGCGUCACUUCUCCGGAUCAUAAUUACUACAGCUACUAGAUGACGUCUGUUUUUGGCAACUGAAUUUCUGACCUACACUGUCAUUUUUCUUGGGAGAACAGGCUGCUAUCUUGACUACUAAAAUGGCUGGAGCGCCCUUUGCUCAGCUCUCCCUGAAAUCCCCACCUGCAAGAAGAGCUACCAACAUCUACUCUGCCCACCUACUGCCAAAGACUCCCAGGCUCCUCAUUCCAGCGUGUCUCUCAGCACUGACUCUCUUAUCCUCCUGUAUACUCUGCCAGAAAAGCACCUGAGGGCCUGCACUCCUCCUCAGAGUUGAAAGAAGCCUACUUUAAAUAGGUGAAGGAGUGUGCUAAGACAGAUUCAGAGCUUGCAAGUGAUUCUUGCUUCUUGUCAUCACUCCAAUGCCCCAUUUCCACAGGCUGAAUAGCACAGGAAGCAUAGUGCUGGAGACACAUUGUGACAAGCAACAGCAUCCCAGACACCAUGCUUUAAGAUACAGAUGUGAACUCAGCCUGAUGUUUCUCACACACCAUUUUCCCUCCAGCUAAGUGAGGUGCACAGUAGCCCAGAGGUGUGUAUUUGGUUCAGCAGUGCUCACAUUACCUACAUGCUUAGCAUUCAUCUGUCAGGUAUAGGGAGGAAUGUGUUCACAGCAGUCUUGGCUCAUUGCAUCUCAGAUAUCACACCACCACCAUGUCUACCAGAAUAAACAUUCAACAAAAAGGGAAAACAUGCUGCUGUAAUUCCCAUGGGAGAAAAUGAAGGAGGGAAAACCUCCCUCUGCGGUUGUGGUGGUCGUGCUGACCUCAUGGAGGACCUCUUGGGAUGAUAAUUGAAGGAAGAGGUCAGUUUGGUCACUUUAUGGCACCUCAUCAAUGUGGGUGUAUAUUGAAAUAAAUGAAUGCAUGAAUGGUUGUUCAUUGCCUGCUUACCACCGGUUAUAUAGUGUAAAUCGUCCAUUUUAAUUUUCCAUGAGGGGUUUAGCUGCAUAUUUUUGAUACAGUCAGACAUGACCUGCGAACUGAUCCAUCAUCAGUUGAUGAGACUGAGCUACAAUUACAUGGGCCAAAGUUUUCUUUCUGAAUAUAAUCAAUUUGACCAACUAGUCUGUCAAAAGUGACAUGAUUGCUAAAUAAAACAAUCAGAUAAGCUCUCUUGUUGAUAUGAUUCAUAUUAAGCAAACAAAAGGAGAAUGUGACUGAUAUGUGCAAUACAGCCAAUCUUUCAUUGCACUAUAGGCAAACUUUCGAAAAGUUUUGAAAAACAUGAACCUGCGUCAAGCUGCGGCACUUUUAUUGGUUUAUUGCAAUGCUUUUGUACUGAUGCAACAGUUUUACCACGACUAUAAAAUUUCAUACUACAGCGUAGUACGGGCGAGUACAUUAUAGUCUCUUAAGACAUUUUCCUCCUCUAAAAACGCUCAUUAAAAUCCUUACACCGAAUCAGCUCCUUUAUUUCAGAAACAUAUAAUGUUAGUGUUUAUCAAAUAUGCAUUUUUAUAUACAAGAUACAAUUCUGUAAGGGAAAUCUUCCAGAUACCUUCAUUUCGUAUUUUCAAAGUCAUUCACAGAUUAAUUCUAACUGAACCAGUCAUCUAAUCUUCAUCCAAGUUCAGCAAAGUCCUAUAAAAUAUGUUUUAAAAGACUUUAAACUCUGUUUAAUAAUUUAGGUUUUUCCUAUGUCAUGACCAAUAUGUUUGACAUUGAAAAUUAGGCAUCAAAUUUCCAUAUUGACUUUGAAAAUGGAGAUCUUACCAAACUCCAUCCACUGAUGAAGAUCAUGUGAUAAGGUUCAAAGCUCUGGAAUAAGCUAGUAUGUGGACCUUGAGUUAGGAUUGUUUUGUCAAAUUGUGAAUAUUGUUUUAUAUUUUUCAGCUAGAGGUAAUGAAUAUGUCUUUCUUCUUCUUACACAUUAUUUUGUGCACUUAGUUUGACCUUAGUUUAAACUUCUGUAAAUAAAUAAAAGUGAAGCCUGUUUGCUUCCUCACCAGUGUGUAUCCAUGUUGUUACUGUAUUUUAUUUCUGCUCAAGCACACACACCAGCCCAGAUGCAUACAUAUGUCUGCACAUCUCCUCUAUACGGGAUUAUGCCAACACUUCAGCAAUGCAGUGAAAGUGUAUGAUAGGGGGUCUGGAAGCGGUCGCAGCUGGUUGUGUGGGUUACCAUCACAAGCUGGGCCGGUAGGAUGCAGCUCUCAACACCAGUCAGCGGAGCUGCUGAGAGGGGUCCUGGAAUUUACACGCAUAAUUAUUACUCUCUUCUCUAUGGCUUUAAGAGGCUCACUGUAUGGGUAUGUGUGUGUGUGUGUAAGACAUAUGAUGGCAUGUGUAUUUGUCUUUGUGUGGUUUUGUGAACAAUGUCACGUUCAAUUGUAUCAGCCUCACUCACCUCUUCACUAAUUCGUAUUUUGGUUUCAAGCCUCCACAUGUUUGUUUUGACAAUUCGGCGUGGGAAACACAAACAUACAGUGAACUGCUACCUCUUUAUUUGUGUUUUCAUACCUACACGAAUCCUCUUGUAUUAUGAAGUAUCACUAACAGGCACUGUCUUGUGUUGCUAGAAUACAUCAUUAAUAUACUGCCUUGAGAGUGGCCUUUGAGGUAAUCUUGAAGUUGCUUGCUCUAACACUAGGUGUCAGUGUCGUGUCUGGCUCUCUUGGUGCCGGCAGCAGACUUUCCAUCUUCACUUUAUUACUGACUUUGAAAUGCUCUUACUGAACAACUCAUUAAACGAAGGAGACAGAACA